GUUUCAUGACUAGUCAUGUCGCAUCUUGUUCAAUUUUCUAAAUCAUUACGUCGGGCGUAGGUAGGUCCAACUUAUCUCUUACACCUUAUCGUCUAACUGGUGCAACCCACUCCUGGUCAGUAGAGUCAGGAACUUCCCCCUCUUAAGUACUAUAUGUAUUGGCUGAAAGUAUUACUAUGUGAAUUUCAAAUACUCAAUAGCCGGUUUGCCAGUGUUAAUAGGAAACUAUUUAUGACAAUGUUUAUUGCACGUACAGACAAUUACUCUGUGGCAGAGCAACGAGCCAAACGGGGGGUUGACACCUCCAAUGUUGAAUCUGACGAGGAACCAGCGAAGAGGGCGGUGACUAAACCAAUCAGAUUCCGUGUAGAGCCACCUGAUGAUGAUGGAAGUGAAGCACUCCAGAAAAAGACAAAUGAACCCAGACAAGCCCAGCGUACAGUGCCACAGCUUCCACCAGCCCCUAGUGUAACUUCAAGAGCCAGUGUCUUUGAAAAUGACCCUACAACAAGGUACAUAAUGUUUCAAGUCUGAUAAACAAGCCUACUUUCUCAAAGUUCUGUUCCUACCAACUGUAUGGGAUGAACAGGAAAAUCUGUUAAGUGUGUACUAUAAAUGUGGUAACGGUUUGACAUCUGUGAUAUUCUCUGAAGUUGCAGAUGCAGAGGACUUGAGGCCAUGUG